GCCCGACUCCUACGGAGGCAGCAGUGGGAAUUUGGACAUGGGCGCAAGCCGAUCCAGCCAUGCGCGUGUCUGAGAAAGCCUUGGGUUGUAAAGGACUUGUCAGGAANAAAAAGGCGGGGUUAAUACCCCUGUCUGAUGACGGUACNUGAAGAAUAAGCACCGGCUAACUACGUGCCAGCAGCCGCGGUAAUACGUAGGGUGCGAGCGUUAAUCGGAAUUACUGGGCGUAAAGCGGGCGCAGACGGUUACUUAAGCAGGAUGUGAAAUCCCCGGGCUCAACCUGGGAACUGCGUUCUGAACUGGGUGACUAGAGUGUGUCAGAGGGAGGUAGAAUUCCACGUGUAGCAGUGAAAUGCGUAGAGAUGUGGAGGAAUACCGAUGGCGAAGGCAGCCUCCUGGGAUAACACUGACGUUCAUGCCCGAAAGCGUGGGUAGCAAACAGGAUUAGAUACCCUGGUAGUCCACGCCCUAAACGAUGUCGAUUAGCUGUUGGGCAGCAUGACUGCUUAGUAGCGAAGCUAACGCGUGAAAUCGACCGCCUGGGGAGUACGGUCGCAAGAUUAAAACUCAAAGGAAUUGACGGGGACCCGCACAAGCGGUGGAUGAUGUGGAUUAAUUCGAUGCAACGCGAAGAACCUUACCUGGUCUUGACAUGUACGGAACCCUCCAGAGACGGAGGGGUGCCUUCGGGAGCCGUAACACAGGUGCUGCAUGGCUGUCGUCAGCUCGUGUCGUGAGAUGUUGGGUUAAGUCCCGCAACGAGCGCAACCCUUGUCAUUAGUUGCCAUCAUUAAGUUGGGCACUCUAAUGAGACUGCCGGUGACAAGCCGGAGGAAGGUGGGGAUGACGUCAAGUCCUCAUGGCCCUUAUGACCAGGGCUUCACACGUCAUACAAUGGUCGGUACAGAGGGUAGCCAAGCCGCGAGGUGGAGCCAAUCUCACAAAACCGAUCGUAGUCCGGAUUGCACUCUGCAACUCGAGUGCAUGAAGUCGGAAUCGCUAGUAAUCGCAGGUCAGCAUACUGCGGUGAAUACGUUCCCGGGUCUUGCACACACCGCCCGUC
rnacentral:rRNA from 1 species